rnacentral:rRNA from 1 species
ACUCAAAUGAAUUGACGGGGGCCCGCACAAGCGGUGGAGUAUGUGGCUUAAUUCGAUGCAACGCGAAGAACCUUACCUGGCCUUGACAUGCAAGAGACCGGAAAUGAAAGUUUCCUUUCCGCAAGGACUGUUGCACAGGUGCUGCAUGGCUGUCGUCAGCUCGUGUCGUGAGAUGUUGGGUUAAGUCCCGCAACGAGCGCAACCCUUGUGAACUGUUGCCGAGGUUAAUACCGAGGCUCUCUGUUCAGACUGCCCUGUGAAACGGGGAGGAAGGUGGGGAUGACGUCAAGUCAGCAUGGCCCUUACGGCCAGGGCUGCACACGUACUACAAUGCCCAGUACAGAACGAUCCAAAACCGCGAGGUGGAGGAAAUCCUGAAAACUGGGCCCAGUUCGGAUUGGAGGCUGCAACUCGCCUCCAUGAAGCCGGAAUCGCUAGUAAUGGCGCAUCAGCUACGGCGCCGUGAAUACGUUCCCGGGCCUUGUACACACCGCCCGU